AGCUCUUUCGGCGGGAAAGAAAACUCGGGCGUUAAUACCGUGCGGCCUUGACGUUACCCGCACAAGAAGCACCGGCUAACUCCGUGCCAGCAGCCGCGGUAAUACGGAGGGUGCAAGCGUUAAUCGGAAUUACUGGGCGUAAAGCGCACGUAGGCGGGCAAUUAAGUCGGAUGUGAAAUCCCCGGGCUUAACCUGGGAACUGCAUCCGAUACUGGUUGCCUAGAGUAUGGAAGAGGGAAGCGGAAUUCCAGGUGUAGCGGUGAAAUGCGUAGAUAUCUGGAGGAACAUCAGUGGCGAAGGCGGCUUCCUGGUCCAAUACUGACGCUGAGGUGCGAAAGCGAGGGGAGCAAACAGGAUUAGAUACCCUUGGGUAGUCAA
rnacentral:rRNA from 1 species